rnacentral:misc_RNA from 1 species
GAUGAAGACGUAGCGAAAUGCGAUAAGUAAUGUGAAUUGCAGAAUCCAGUGAAUCAUCGAAUCUUUGAACGCACAUUGCGCCCGCCAGCAUUCUGGCGGGCAUGCCUGUUCGAGCGUCAUUUCAACCCUCGACCUCCCUUUGGGGAAGUCGGCGUUGGGGACCGGCAGCACACCGCCGGCCCUGAAAUGGAGUGGCGGCCCGUCCGCGGCGACCUCUGCGUAGUAAUCCAACUCGCACCGGAACCCCGACGCGGCCACGCCGUAAAACACCCAACUUCUGAACGUUGACCUCGAAUCAGGUAGGACUACCCGCUGAACUUAAGCAUAUCAAUAAGCGGAGGA